AAUGCAAGUGUUUAACAGAUGCUUCACUAUUAAAAUAUUUUUCCCCCCAAGUCUCAAAUAUUGAAGAAUCUCUAACCAGGCUCGAAACGCCAGUCUCAGUGGCCAUUGAGUUACCUACCCACCAAGUUACCCCGGUUAGAGCUGUUCGGGGUGGCUCACGUUAUUGCGGCAAACUUUGGAGAUGACCGCUGAGUCCUCCGGGCGAACGGUCAAGCCGAUUGUAAAUGCUGUUAUUUCCACAUCCUUCAGGGACACCAGCCCCAACGAAGACCUUGGGCGAUUUCAAAGUGCGGGCACCUCGAUUCCUCGAAUGUGUAGUGUGGCUGGUAUCGGUGUUUCCCUGGUUUAACUAGCCUGCUUGUAGAAGUGACUCUGACCGUUCCCUUAAGAAUCUUUAAUGCUCUUACAUGGUAUGAGCCUCAGAAUAUGCUAAGAACCCUCUGAAAGAACAUUAAGCCUGGAAGGUGACAGAAGGAGCAAUGUAUUCUUGAAGAUGUCACCUCAGCCCACCUGCUCCAAGGACAGUACUUCUUGCGACACUCUGAUGGCUCUGCAUUCUUUUCUGUACCAGGAAGGCGCAGAUCAUUCAUGGGGAA